ACAUCGACGAGGUGGGGGGCAGUGGGGAGCCAGGCGGGGCCGGGGGGGGCGACGAGGUGGACGACCUGGAUGCCGCCCUCAGCAACCUGGAGGUGAAACUAGGGGGGGCGUCCGAGCCCCCUGGCCCACUGGAGGAGCUCACCACCGUCCCUGAGCUGGCUGAGGAGCUGGAGAUCUACAGACCCCGCAAGCUGACCCUGCGGGGGUUUCGCCCCACCUGGGCCGUGCUGAAGGAGACGUCGCUCUCAUAUGGCCGCAGCCCCCCAGUCCCGGGGGAGCCCCUGCAGCAGCUCAACCUCAGGGGUGA